UUCCAUGAUGAUGUCAUCGGGCGGGGGCAUGACCACGUCCGGUAGCAACUUUUCUUCCACCAGCGUGUUGACCAGCUCCACCAUGGAAGGUAAAGUCUCUACUGGUGAUAUUACCAUAGUUCCCAUAUAGUGAUUCCCUUCUCUGAUUCACGUCACAACACUCCAGGACCACGGAACCCCCUACACACACACACACACACACACACACACACACACACACACACACACACACACACACACACACACACACACACACACACACACACACACACACACACACACACACACACACACACA